rfam:Atta colombica isolate Treedump-2 unplaced genomic scaffold scaffold183, whole genome shotgun sequence.
ACCUUGAUGGUCUAAUGGCUUAGGAUGUUUGUAUGGAAUACAAGAGAUCCGGGUUCAAGUCCCGACCGAGAUA